CUACGGGAGGCAGCAGUGGGGAAUAUUGGGCAAUGGGCGGAAGCCUGACCCAGCCACGCCGCGUGCAGGAAGACGGCCCUCUGGGUUGUAAACUGCUUUUAACUGGGAAGAAAGCAGCUCAUGCGUGAGAAUUUGACGGUACCAGUUGAAUAAGCCACGGCUAACUACGUGCCAGCAGCCGCGGUAAUACGUAGGUGGCGAGCGUUAUCCGGAUUUAUUGGGUUUAAAGGGAGCGUAGGCGGCUGAUUAAGUCAGCGGUGAAAGGUAGCAGCUUAACUGUUUUACAUGCCGUUGAUACUGGUUAGCUUGAGUUGACAGAAGGCAGAUAGAAUUCCUGAUGUAGCGGUGAAAUGCUUAGAUAUCAGGAGGAAUACCGAUUGCGAAGGCAGUCUGCUGCAGUCACACUGACGCUGAGGCUCGAAGGUGCGGGGAUCAAACAGGAUUAGAUACCCUGGUAGC
rnacentral:rRNA from 1 species